CGUGCAGGUGGUUUGGUAAGUUGGGUAUGAAAUCUUCUGGCUUAACUAGGAGAGGUUGCUCAAAACUGCCAGACUAGAGGACGAUAGAGGAAGGUGGAAUUCCCGGUGUAGUAGUGAAAUGCGUAGAUAUCGGGAGGAACACCAGUGGCGAAGGCGGCCUUCUGUGUCGUUCCUGACACUAAGACGCGAAAGUAUGGGUAGCAAACAGGAUUAGAUACCCUGGUAGUCC
rnacentral:rRNA from 1 species